rnacentral:rRNA from 1 species
CCUACGGGAGGCAGCAGUGGGGAAUUUUGGACAAUGGGGGCAACCCUGAUCCAGCAAUGCCGCGUGUGUGAAGAAGGCCUUCGGGUUGUAAAGCACUUUUGUCCGGAAAGAAAUCCCUUGUCCUUAUACGGGGGGGGGAUGACGGUACCGGAAGAAUAAGCCCCGGCU